GACGAACCGAGCGAACGUUGUUCGGAAUAACUGGGCUUAAAGGGCGCGUAGGCGGCCUGUCAAGUCUGGGGUGAAAUCCCGCGGCUCAACCGCGGACCCGCCUCGGAUACUGACGGCCUCGAGGGGGGUAGGGGCGAGCGGAACUAAUGGUGGAGCGGUGAAAUGCGUUGAUAUCAUUAGGAACUCCGGUGGCGAAGGCGGCUCGCUGGACCUCUUCUGACGCUGAGGAGCGAAAGCUAGGGGAGCAAACGGG
rnacentral:rRNA from 1 species